UGUUAAAAAUUUUAUCAAUUUGUAUUGUUAAAAAUUGACAUAACUUAUAGAAUAACCAGAUAGUGGCCUAUGUCAUGUCAUGUGUACGUCAAGCUAACUUACGAUGAUCAUAUUUUAAGAGUAUAAAUAGAUAAAAUUUUUAACA
rfam:Gossypium raimondii Chr09_contig_1116, whole genome shotgun sequence.